GACGUAGGGCGCAAGCGUUGUCCGGAUUUAUUGGGCGUAAAGAGCUCGUAGGCGGCCUGUCGCGUCGACCGUGAAAACCCGCAGCUCAACUGCGGGCUUGCGGUCGAUACGGGCAGGCUGGAGUUCGGUAGGGGAGACUGGAAUUCCUGGUGUAGCGGUGAAAUGCGCAGAUAUCAGGAGGAACACCGGUGGCGAAGGCGGAUCUCUGGGCCAUUACUGACGCUGAGGAGCGAAAGCGUGGGGAGCGAACAGG
rnacentral:rRNA from 1 species